GAGUUUUGAGGUGAGAACGGCCUCCUCACACGCCUGUCGAUCGAACGUUCAACAGGCAAAGUAGCUGGGAAACCAGCGAAGAGAUCUGGGUGUGGGCACCCCAGCAAAUCUA
rnacentral:ncRNA from 1 species